GGGACGAACGCUGGCGGCGUGCUUAACACAUGCAAGUCGAGCGGAAAGGCCCUUCGGGGUACUCGAGCGGCGAACGGGUGAGUAACACGUGGGCAACCUGCCCUUAGCUCUGGGAUAGCUCCGGGAAACCGGAAUUAAUACCGGAUAUGACCUAGGCCGACAUCGGCCGUGGUGGAAAGUUUUUCGGCUAGGGAUGGACUCGCGGCCUAUCAGCUAGUUGGUGGGGUAAUGGCCUACCAAGGCGACGACGGGUAGCCGGCCUGAGAGGGCGACCGGCCAACGACUGGGACUGAGACACGGCCCAGACUCCUACGGGAGGCAGCAGUGGGGAAUCUUGCGCAAUGGGCGAAAGCCUGACGCAGCGACGCCGCGUGGGGGAUGAAGGCCUUCGGGUUGUAAACCCUUUCAGCAGGGACGAAGCGAAAGUGACGGUACCUGCAGAAGAAGCGCCGGCUAACUACGUGCCAGCAGCCGC
rnacentral:rRNA from 1 species